GUGAAUUUAGAGGUCGAAAGACGACCUUCCUCUUCACCAUCUUUCUGACCUCCGAUUGGAGUUCCUCUGGCCGCUUCACCGCAGGCUCUGGCUUCCUUUUCUCCAGUCUGCGCAGGAAGUCUCUGUGAUGACCAGGUCUCACCGUCCAGAUCUGCAGGCAGCUCAGCCUUCAGAACCGUGACAGAGCCAAGUGAUUGUUGGCUCUAUAAACAUUUGUGAACCACGUGGGAUGAAUUGGAGGGAUACAGGCAUGGAUGACCUGUAAUGCUUGCCCAUAGGCUGUGCAGGGGCUGGCUGUGGUCAGGACUCAGCAGGUGAAGGUGCCUGCUGCCCAGCCUGAUGAUCCGAGUCCACUUUCUGGAAUCUCCAUGGUUGACUGCCUCCAAGAGGUACAGUAUACACUUAUCAAGUAAUGGUACGGUUUACUGCUUAGCUAGCCAAUCCUGGAGCCCUGGAUAAUGUGUGCACUGGGAGGAGUCCUGACAGGUGACUUGCCCAAAGUCACAUGGCACAUGUUUUAGAUCUGUCCUUUGUUGAGGGCUAUGGUGCUCUGGCCACCCUGUAAUGUAAUGGCCACUCUGUUGCAU
rnacentral:lncRNA from 1 species